AAGCCAGCUUGACUGCGAGCGUGACGGCGCGAGCAGGUGCGAAAGCAGGUCAUAGUGAUCCGGUGGUUCUGAAUGGAAGGGCCAUCGCUCAACGGAUAAAAGGUACUCCGGGGAUAACAGGCUGAUACCGCCCAAGAGUUCAUAUCGACGGCGGUGUUUGGCACCUCGAUGUCGGCUCAUCACAUCCUGGGGCUGAAGUAGGUCCCAAGGGUAUGGCUGUUCGCCAUUUAAAGUGGUACGCGAGCUGGGUUUAGAACGUCGUGAGACAGUUCGGUCCCUAUCUGCCGUGGGCGCUGGAGAACUGAGGGGGGCUGCUCCUAGUACGAGAGGACCGGAGUGGACGCAUCACUGGUGUUCGGGUUGUCAUGCCAAUGGCACUGCCCGGUAGCUAAAUGCGGAAGAGAUAAGUGCUGAAAGCAUCUAAGCACGAAACUUGCCCCGAGAUGAGUUCUCCCUGACCCUUUAAGGGUCCUGAAGGAACGUUGAAGACGACGACGUUGAUAGGCCGGGUGUGUAAGCGCAGCGAUGCGUUGAGCUAACCGGUACUAAUGAACCGUGAGGCUUAACCUUACAAC
rnacentral:rRNA from 1 species